CUCGGGACCGGCGGCGGAAGGUCGCCCAAACCGGAAGGAGGGCCGCCCGGGACGGCCGCCUACAGACCUAUCACACCUACCUCCAGACAUUCAAGACAUACUAACGGAGAAGGCAGAGGAUUUCCCAGCUCCUCCAAAUCAAAUACGACAAGUCCUGGGAGUGUGGCUGAGUUUCCAGCUGUUCCUGGCGGGAAGGCCUCUGCUUCUGACUCCUGCCUCUUCAAGGACCAGCCACCUUCCUGUCCCCUCCCUGACCAUUGGCCCACCUCCCCUCAAAACACACAGCAGUUUCAUUCCAGCGCAUCACCUUUUUAGCUCCUCCAUGGGUGUUUCUGGUGUGGGAGGCCCCAGCAAGCAUGCCAGCUGUGUCCCCAGAGCUAUCAAUCACAUGUGACACUCCUCUGAAUUCAUGGUUUACCUUUAAAGUCAUGGGAGCAGGCAUCGCACCUCUGACUGCAAAGCUUCAGGGCAAAGAGCAUCCUUAAGAACCCAAGGUGAACGUGCAGGAGAAGCUUCAUCUUCAAAUCGUCUCCAAAGACACCGUGUGGACCACUGGGACCACCGACAGUCCUGGUUGGGUCUCUGCUUGCACCUCCUGCUCUUAAGAAGUUUUCCCUCCAUGUACCAAAAAAAAGCAUGAUCUGUAGCAAUGGGAGCCUGGAACACUUUGCAAAAAAUUAAACCUUCUGGUCGCGCAACAAUGGUCAUAUUAGAGCAAUUACAGUGAAUCCUUGUCUGUGUCCCAAAGCAUCAUCUGAUUGUAAAGACACAGAAAGUGGUGGGAGAGAUACUAUGGCCAGUGUGAAUCAUGGUGGAGCUUCACCAGAGACAGAUGCAGAUGUCUCUCACCAAAUUGCAAAGAGUUGGUUUUUAGGAUCUUUGCUGCAGGCAAGCAAAUGCAGGCAUGGAGACAAGACUGUGUAUCAUGGUUCCAUCAAAACCAGGAGCUCCUAAGAUGCUGUGAAUCAUAAAGAAAAUUGGCUGCAGCAUCAAAAUAUUCUCUACUAUGUGCUUAAUUCGGUCAAUAGGAAGCCAACAGAGCUAGGUGAUGAUUUGUUUCAAAAUCAAGUGAUUCUAUAUGCAAAACUAGGAAUUACAGCCCAUGAUUAUGAUAUUAUCAUUAAUACAAUUAUUUUUAAUUAAGAAUUUUUAUUAGCCCUCAUCAACUGAAGUAAUAGCUGUGCAGUGAAAUAGAUUCGCUCCCCAGACAUGAAAAGACCUCCAUGAGGACAAAGAGCCAAGCAAAAAUGAUGCGAUUUUGAUGCCAAGGCUGUCUUCCAGAAGAGACUGGGCGCUUGUUCUGGUGGAGAUUUUUUUCUAAAAUUUAUCAGUUUCCCAGUUUCUGACCCGAGUCACCCAAGGACUAGGCCGGAACCUUUGGGUCCAGUGCCACAUCCCCAGGGAAGACCUAGAUUUUUAAUCCUUUCAAAUGUUCUGGCUGUGGAUGCAGAAAUAUGUGUUAACCUUAGAAAGCAUCCACUUCAAGGUCCAUUAUUGUCAAAAAGGCCCCGUGUCAGGCAGUGUCCUGUCCCUUGGGGAGUCACCUGUCUCUCUGGGUGGUAGGCACCCUCUCAGUUAAACACAAAGGCUAUUGGUAGCAUAUCUGGAGCUGAAACUAUUCCGCUGACCAACAUAAGACUCAUCUUAUUAUAAUUAACAUCAGUAUAUUUCUUUAUAUCCACAGCCUCUUGGAGGAGCUAAUGCAAAACAAACCAAAGGGAGAAAAAAAAAGUCUCAAUUGUUUGGGGGAUUUUAAGAGAAUUCUUUAAUAUCAGAUUAAGCCCAUUUUGAUUGUAAAUCUAUUUUCAGCUCAACAUUAC
ensembl:lincRNA